rnacentral:rRNA from 1 species
UAACGCGUGAGGAACCUGCCUCAAAGAGGGGGACAACAGUUGGAAACGACUGCUAAUACCGCAUAAGCCCACAGCUCGGCAUCGAGCAGAGGGAAAAGGAGUGAUCCGCUUUGAGAUGGCCUCGCGUCCGAUUAGCUAGUUGGUGAGGUAAUGGCCCACCAAGGCGACGAUCGGUAGCCGGACUGAGAGGUUGAACGGCCACAUUGGGACUGAGACACGGCCAG